GUGCUACGAGCCUUUGUCUAUUGAUAGAUCUUGUCCGAUUCAACGAUACAGACCCGCUGCUCGGACCACCCGCUUCAUCACCUUCUACGUGCAUUGAAUUUUUCUUCUGUUCCUAAAAAAUUGAAUAUUACAUCGAGCAGGAGGCUUAGCGGAAAGUGCAUAUCACACAAUUGGAGACGCUUCAUACAAUUGUGCCAACUCCCUGUUGAGAUCCCUGUUGCUGUUUCAUGUAAUCAUGAAACAUUGAAUUCUACAGAAUGUAUGCGCUAUGUAAAAUGCUCCUCACCUUCAAAGACCAUUUUUUGAACCAUCCAAAAAUGCAACUAUGCCCCUCUGAUUCUCACCCUUUUAUUUAUUUUUAUUCACUUUAGUUCUAAAGAUUGUGAUCAAACUUUAAGUAUUAAAAUUUUGCAUUACAAGUU